UAGAAAUACAAAAAAUCUGUUCCAAAAUGUUCUUCAUAGCUUAAAGGGGGACAUGUUAUGGUGGUAUUUGCGAAUCUCUCAAGGUUGCCCUUCAAGGUCAGUUCAAGGUCAACUUCAUUUUCUUAAAUAGGUCGACCUGAAUUUUAUUUCAUAUUUGAAUUCUGCGUAAAAUUCUACAUUCUUUGAACUAUUAGUUUCUUAUUUUUACUUUCAAAAAUUUUCCGCUUGUUUUAAGGUCGGGAUUUUUUUUGGUUUAAAAAAUACAUGUGUGGCAUAUCAAACUAAAGCUCUCAUUAUUCUAAAUCAGAUGGUAUGUUUAGAAAAUCGCUGUUUCCUUUUUUCUUAUUUUUUCAUUUUUUUUCCACCCCUCCCCCAUGGUUUCAGGGUGUGUCAGUACGUAAUAUUCAGAUCGUCCGGCGAUUUUUGGGCAUACCAUUUGAUUUAGAAUGAUGAGGGCUUUAGUUUGAUAUGCCACACAUGUAUCUUUGAGCUGAAAAAAUUCUCGACCUUAAAAAAAGCGGAUUUUUUAUUUCAUAUAAGAAAUAAAUAAUUGAAUGAAUGUAGAAUUUUACGCAAAACUCAAAUAUGAAAUAAAAUUCAGGUCGACCCAUUUAAGAAAAUGAAGUUGACCUUGAACUGACCUUGAAGGGCAACCUUGACAGAUUCGCAAAGGUCACCAUAACAUGUCCCCCUUUGAGCUAUGAAGAACAUCUCAG
rnacentral:lncRNA from 1 species